CAGCAGCCGCGGUAAAACGUAGGGUGCAAGCGUUGUCCGGAAUUAUUGGGCGUAAAGAGCUCGUAGGCGGUUAGUCACGUCGGCUGUGAAAACCUGGGGCUCAACCCCGGGCCUGCAGCCGAUACGGGCUAACUAGAGUUCGGCAGGGGAGACUGGAAUUCCUGGUGUAGCGGUGAAAUGCGCAGAUAUCAGGAGGAACACCGGUGGCGAAGGCGGGUCUCUGGGCCGAUACUGACGCUGAGGAGCGAAAGCGUAGGGAGCAAACAGGAUUAGAUACCCCGGUAGUCCCUGUCUCUUAUAC
rnacentral:rRNA from 1 species